CCUACGGGCGGCUGCAGUGGGGAAUCUUCCGCAAUGGGCGAAAGCCUGACGGAGCAACGCCGCGUGAGUGAUGCCGGCCUUCGGGUUGUAAAACUCGGUGAGCCGGGACGAAAAGGCAGAGUGCGAAGAACAAACUGCAUUGACGGUACCGGAAACGCAAGCCACGGCUAACUACGUGCCAGCAGCCGCGGUAAAACGUAGGUGGCAAGCGUUGUCCGGAAUUAUUGGGCGUAAAGCGCGCGCAGGCGGCUUCCCAAGUACCGCUUAAAAGUGCGGGGCUUAACCCCGUGAUGGGAAGGAAACUGGGAAGCUAGAGUACCGGAGAGGAAAGUGGAAUUCCUAGUGUAGCGGUGAAAUGCGUAGAGAUUAGGAAGAACACCGGUGGCGAAGGCGACUUUCUGGACGAAAACUGACGCUGAGGCGCGAAAGCGUGGGGAGCAAACAGGAUUAGAGACCCCUGUAGUC
rnacentral:rRNA from 1 species